AAUUUUUAAAGGGCCGCGGUAUUUCUGACCGUGCGAAGGUAGCAUAAUCAUUAGUCUUUUAAUUUGAGGCUCGUAUGAAUGGUCGGACGAGGGAUAAACUGUUUGCAGAUAAAAAACUUGAACUUAACUUUUGAGUGAAAAGGCUCAAAUACUUCAAAAAGACGAUAAGACCCUAUAAAUCGUUAUGUUGGGGCAACAAAGAUAUAAGAAUUAACUGUUUUAUCAUACACACAAAAAUCAUUGAUAGAUCCUUUUUAAAGAUUUAAAGAUUAAGUUACUUUAGGGAUAACAGCGUUAUUCUUUUUGAGAGUCCUCAUCGAAAAAAGAGUUUGCGACCUCGAUGUUGAAUUAGAAGAUCUCUAUGGUGCAGCAGCUAUAGAAGAAAGUCUGUUCGACUUUUAAACUUCU
rnacentral:rRNA from 1 species